AACGAACGCUGGUGGCAUGCCUAACACAUGCAAGUCGAACGAGACCUUCGGGUCUAGUGGCGCACGGGUGCGUAACGCGUGGGAACCUGCCCUUAGGUUCGGAAUAACUCCCCGAAAGGGGUGCUAAUACCGGAUAAUGUCUUCGGACCAAAGAUUUAUCGCCUUUGGAUGGGCCCGCGUUGGAUUAGCUAGUUGGUAGGGUAAAAGCCUACCAAGGCGACGAUCCAUAGCUGGUCUGAGAGGAUGAUCAGCCACACUGGGACUGAGACACGGCCCAGACUCCUACGGGAGGCAGCAGUGGGGAAUAUUGGACAAUAGGCGAAAGCCUGAUCCAGCAAUGCCGCGUGAGUGAUGAAGGCCUUAGGGUUGUAAAGCUCUUUUACCCGGGAUGAUAAUGACAGUACCGGGAGAAUAAGCUCCGGCUAACUCCGUG
rnacentral:rRNA from 1 species